rnacentral:rRNA from 1 species
UACGUAGGGUGCAAGCGUUGUCCGGAAUUAUUGGGCGUAAAGAGCUCGUAGGUGGCCUGUCGCGUCGGCUGUGAAAACUCGGGGCUCAACUCCGAGCUUGCAGUCGAUACGGGCAGGCUAGAGUUCGGCAGGGGAGACUGGAAUUCCUGGUGUAGCGGUGAAAUGCGCAGAUAUCAGGAGGAACACCGAUGGCGAAGGCAGCUGCCUGGCCUAGAACUGACGCUGAGGUGCGAAAGCGUGGGGAGCGAACAGG